rnacentral:rRNA from 1 species
AACGGCCACACCAUGCUGAAUAUACCGGUUCUCGUUAGAUCACCGAAGUCAAGCAUCAUUGGGCGCGGUCAGUACUUGGGUGGGUGACCACCUGGGAACACCGCCGUGCCG